GAAGAGCGGUUAUACAAGUGACUGUGGAGCCAUCAGUGCUGAGUCGUACGUGCUAGUUAUGGGGGCUGAUAAAUCGAAAUUGCCGAAGAAAUGGGAUCGUGCAGACAUCAGUACAUUAGACAAAUACGAGAAAAUUAUAAACCAGGAGGAAAUUAACAAAUGGAAUAUUAAUAACCCGGAAACGAGAAUUGGACACAAAGGCAUGGUAAAACAAGUUCUAACUGCAUAUGUUAUAGCGACAGUUGUUGCAUUGUCUGCUUUGGUAGCAAUUCAAGUGCAUACAAAGAAAAACAAACGAGCUUACAUUAAAGAGAAAAAAAGACAGAGACGUGAAAUGGAGCAGAAGAACGAUAACACAUGACUUAGAGCUUAAUAUAUUGCUUUCCUGCAACUGUGCUGAGGUUGUGAUAUGCUGAAAUCUUGGAACAAAAAAAAAAAAAAAAAAA